rnacentral:tRNA from 1 species
GCUAGUGUAGCAAAACGGCAUUGCAAAAGAUCUAAGUCCUUUUUAUAGAGGUUCAACUCCUCUCGCUAACU